rnacentral:tRNA from 1 species
UCCCUGGUGGUCUAGUGGUUAAGAUUAUGCUUUGCAAUGCAGGGGGCCCAGGUUCGAUCCUUGGUUGGGGAA